UAUUAAAUAUUUAUUGAAGGAGAUCUACUGUUGGUGACUCUGAUAGCACAUAUCCAGACAUUUCCUCCUAGUUACUGUUGUGUCAUUAAUAAUUGUUAUGGUAAUGGUCCAGCAGCCAAUUAUGUGUUUCAGACUGCUAUAUUCAUGUUCAAGUCACAUCAUUCUUUCUCCCUGAAAGAUUUGCUGAGCUAUAUUGAAACCUCUGAUAACAUUUCUGCAGCAAAUUUCUGGUUUGAAGAAUGAUGAUUAUAGCACAAGACCUGAGAAUUAUUCUGCUCAAAGCUGAUCUUACUCCCCAAUUCAAAGGCUGCUGGCCCUGGAACUUGGUCUUUGAGUAGUUUAGAACAUAGUGAAGGAAUGUUAUACUUUAAACCUAAUCAUCACUGGGAAGGAAAAAAACCUCCAGCUGAUUAUACUUUCUACUCUUGGAAUGUCAUACCACUUAUGGCACUGAAGUUGGUAUUUUUAUUGCAAAAUUGACAUUAAUUUACAUUAGAACAUGUAAAUUAUGGUAGGAUAGGAAAAAAUAAGGUUAUUAAUGCCUGUACUGUUUACUUUUUCACUAUUUAUGCUGUUUAUUUUGAAGUGAAUGUUUUCACAUAUUUAACUGAUUUUCAAAUAUUCAAACCUGUCAGAUUAUUUUCACUAAAUCAGCAUUCUGAAGAAAAGUAUAAAGAACUCACAUAUUUCCAGUAUUAGAAUCAUAGUGUUUGACAAGAAAUCCCACCUCUUGUCUUUUUCUUCCAAGUUUUAAGUGAUAAAGUGCUCCUGAAACCUAGAAAUCCAGCAUGUCUGAAAGCAUUUCUUUUUCAUGGAAUAGACCAGACAUCACAGGCACAAAGGAAUCAAAGCCCUUGAUGCAACAGAAGCUUUUGGCAAGACUCACAGGAUUUUUUUGAACUGCAGUUGAGACUGGAGAGAAAUAGUUCCUAAAGAACAUCACUGCAUCAAACAAUCUGUAAGUACGGAAUAGAAGAGGUAUGAGAAAGGGAAAGUCUGAUGACAGAUUGAGAAUCUUGUUUUAUAAAAUAGCUGCAGAGGGCUUGAGAGCUUUAAAGAGUGCCAGUGAGGGGGCAGAAGAGAAGUGUGUGCACAUCUUAGGAGAAAAUUACUGAGCUUUAAUCUCAAACAUAUUAACCUCAAGUCUUUAUUGUGAGGUAGCUUGGUCUUGAUUUUUGGAAAUAUUGAGCUCUCUCACGUUUGUGUGAACAGAAGAAAUAGUGCAGAGGUGGAGGGGAGAGGAAAAAGUUAUAUGAGUUUUACAGGCAUAAUAUAUAUAUCUGUGAAUUGCAAUCUUUUUUAAAGAAACAGGUGUUGAGAUCAUUACGGCAAAAUCAUUAGUAUGAUCUCCCAAGAAGCUCAGGAAGGGCAUGGCUAUCCUGUCAGUCUCUGAAGCACAUGAAAUGAAUACCACUACUUACAUGCUUCCCUGAGUCCUAAAACAAUGCCCAGCUGUUCUAUCAACGAAAAUUCUAUGGGGUCCAGUUGUUGUGUCAGUCCAGGUUCAGCGAGAGGAAGCAGGGGACUCUGCAGGACACGGAUUUAUGAACUGGGGAGCACAGGUGCACUACACCCUCUGGCAGAGUGGUCCCUGUCUUUACCCCAUUGCACUGACACCCAUCUCUCUCAGCCAGGUUUGGCUGCACCCAGACCAAAGCAAGACUACCUGAGCUGUGUGCAGUGGGGCUGUAGCCAAACAAACCUCACACUCAAUUUCACAGCAAGGGAAUAUUGAAUGGAAACACAAAGUGGGUAUUACCCCCUUUAUAUUUAUUUAUACAUUUGCAAGACAAGUACCAGAGUUAUAGACUACCCACGUUUUAAGGAGGAUGAGACUUUAUUUAAAAAAUGAGAAAGAGAAGCUCAACUUCUCUUUAGCUGUGACUCAGUCAUGGAGCACUGGUUGUGGUCACUGAGGAAUGAUUUUUAUAUAGUAGGCAGCUCUUCAAUCUGUUGGAUACAACAGAAGCCAGUCUCUGGAAGCUGAGAGUACAAGUAAAAUUUGCAAGGUGCAAAUUCUAACCAGGUAAUCAUCUACUGAACAGCACAUCCAUAGAGGUAGUAGAUGCUCUCUUGCAGUCACUUAUGAGCAAGGUUGAAUGCCUUUGAGAUAGUGUCAGUCAAAAACUUGGAUUUGAUGCAGAAGUUGCUGGUGAGACUUAGAGGAGGUCAGGCCAUGUGGCAAUUGUCCCUUCUAAUCUUAAUUUUCUCGAGUUUGAGGCACAUCUUAAUACUGCUACACUGCCUGUCCAGCUGUCAAGAAAUGUUCAGCUAGUCUAGAAAAACAUUCUGAAAGGCUGUUGCUCAAAUGUGACCUGUUCGUAUUUAGGCAAAAUACAAUCUGGGGGAUUCAGUACUAUCUAGACAUCAUAUGAGGAUGUGACCCUGUAGUAUCGCUUAGUUCACACAGCAAAACAGCCCUGGGUAUUAAGAGUUGCUCAGGAGAAACAGGAAGGAAUUUAAAAAGAAUUAUAAUAAUUGAGGUUUUUUUAAUACAGCUCUAGAAUUAAUUAAGAAACUAACGAUAAUGACCACAGAUACCAGUCAUCUCUGAAAGAAGUAAAAAAUGGUAGUCUGCAGAAUUAACAUGUCAUUUGUAGAUUCUUUUUAAUCAAAAUACUCAUAUUGAGAAAACUAUUCAAUAAACGUGAUGAGCAAAUAUUUAACCUUUAGGUUUAGUUUGUGUUCACAUUCCAAACAAAUAUAGUUAGAGAUGCUUAAACAUUUGGAAGUGUUGAACAUAUGUUUACAGAAUAAUUAUAUUUAACAUUGGGAAAUUCACAAAACACUUUCCACAUGUGUUAUAUGUCCUUUUAUAUUAAAGUUUUCUAAAUGUUAUGUUGAAUAGUAUAUUAAAUUCCAUCUUCUUUCUAAGGUACCUGAAGUGGUAGCUUUAGAAGGUAUUUUUCUCAGCUGUAAUAACUCCUUGCAUUUAAAUAUAUUGUUGGUAUUUCCAUAUGUCCUAUUACCUUGCAUUUUUCAGUAAAGCAAUAGAUGAAGGUUUUAAUAAACCCCAUGAUUAAGCAAGGUUUUUACUGCAGCUACCCUUUUGCAUUUCAGAUUGUCAAUUUGUUGCUACUGUGAUUUCCCCUCUGUACAGGAUUACCUUAGUUCAACAGGAAUCAUGCAAGUCAGUGAUUAACAAGAGAUUGGCUAACGUAGUUCGCUGCAUUGUGCAAUUUUGAUAUUGCACCUCGUUUCACCAGUGGGGAAAAAAAUAAAAAGGAAGGUUUCUAAACCCCACUUUUUUGUCUGAACUCUCCAUUUUUUCAUCUGAACUCUCCAUAGGGUCUCAGUGCUUGGAGCCUUUUCACCUGGGCAGGGAGUUUUGGUUCACUGUCCUAGUGAGCUGUGCCCUGGCUGGUGCCUGCAGGGCUGGCGAACAUCACUCCCAGGGUGUGAGCGAGGCCUCCGCAGGCUGCCAGGCUAGGAAUGGGCUGGGAACGGGGAGCACCAGCUGGACUUUGCUUCUCGCUGCCCUUGAGGCCCCCGCAGGGAGCUGUCGGGUCCUGCACCUCCUCCCUCUGCUUUGGCCCUCCCAGGAGCACGUGGAAGGAGACCCUCGCUCACCUGAGCUUCCCACGGAGGGUGGCAGAGCCCAACAGCUGCCCAGGGAGGGCCUGGGGUCUCCCUCUCUGGAGACAUUUCAAACCCACCUGGGCGCGUUGCUGUGUCACCUGCGCCGGGUGACCCUGCCUGGGCAGGGGGUGGGACUGGGUCAUCUCCAGAGCUCCUUCCAACCAGAGCGACUCUGUGACUCUGAAACAGGAUGCUGAGCCCGGCCACCCGGAGAUGCAGGAGAUUUGUGUAAAAUACAUCAAAAAGAAGGAUUUCACUUGGGAACCGUCCCAUUUAACAAACGAUAGGAUUUGUUACGCGCUCUCUGUCCAGUGUAGGAGCCUUUAGCACACUUUCACAGCUCACAGCCCGCACCCAUUGCCAGUGCCAGCCUGACACCUGCCGGCGGCCGAGCGGCCUCGGGGGGACUGAGGAGAACCGGCCCGGCUCUGUGUUUGAGAGGAGACCGGAGCCGAAAGGCCAUGGGAGCGGCAGAAGGAGCGGCGGGAGUGCCUGGG